rnacentral:rRNA from 1 species
UACGUAGGGUGCGAGCGUUAAUCGGAAUUACUGGGCGUAAAGCGUGCGCAGGCGGUGCUGUAAGACAGGCGUGAAAUCCCCGGGCUUAACCUGGGAAUGGCGCUUGUGACUGCAGUGCUGGAGUGCGGCAGAGGGGGAUGGAAUUCCGCGUGUAGCAGUGAAAUGCGUAGAUAUGCGGAGGAACACCGAUGGCGAAGGCAAUCCCCUGGGCCUGCACUGACGCUCAUGCACGAAAGCGUGGGGAGCAAACAGG